rnacentral:rRNA from 1 species
CCUACGGGUGGCAGCAGUGGGGAAUAUUGCACAAUGGGCGAAAGCCUGAUGCAGCAACGCCGCGUGAAGGAAGAAGGGUUUCGGCUCGUAAACUUCUAUCAGCAGGGAAGAAGAAAGACGGUACCUGACUAAGAAGCCCCGGCUAACUACGUGCCAGCAGCCGCGGUAAUACGUAGGGGGCAAGCGUUAUCCGGAUUUACUGGGUGUAAAGGGCGUGUAGGCGGGAGCGCAAGUCAGAUGUGAAAACUCAGGGCUCAACCCUGAGCCUGCAUUUGAAACUGUGUUUCUUGAGUGCUGGAGAGGCAAUCGGAAUUCCGUGUGUAGCGGUGAAAUGCGUAGAUAUACGGAGGAACACCAGUGGCGAAGGCGGAUUGCUGGACAGUAACUGACGCUGAGGCGCGAAAGCGUGGGGAGCAAACAGGAUUAGAUACCCGGGUAGUC